rnacentral:rRNA from 1 species
UACGAAGGGGGCUAGCGUUGCUCGGAAUCACUGGGCGUAAAGCGCACGUAGGCGGACUCUUAAGUCGGUGGUGAAAUCCUGGAGCUCAACUCCAGAACUGCCCUUCGAUACUGGGAGUCUUGAGUCCGGGAGAGGUGAGUGGAACUGCGAAGUGUAGAGGUGAAAUUCGUAGAUAUUGGGAGGAACACCAGUGGCGAAGGCGGCUCACUGGACCGGUACUGACGCUGAUGCGCGAAAAGCGUGGGGAGCAAACAGG